ensembl:misc_RNA 7SK 7SK RNA
AGAUGUGAAGGCGAUCUGGCUGCGACAUCCGUCACCCCAUUGAUCACCAGGGUUGAUUCGGCUGAUCUGGCUGGCUAGGUGGGUGUCCCCUUCCUCCCUCAGCACUCCAUGUGUGUCCCUCCUGAAGCUGUGCGCUCAGUAGAAGAGGACAGCCUUCCCGAAUAGAGACAGACUGGUCUUCAGUCGAGGGUAUAAGAGUAGCUGCACUCCCCUGCUAGAACCUCCAAACACGCUCUCAAGGAAGGCUGUCCCAGUCUCCCUCACCACACGCCAUCCCCUGACUCUGGGGUCUUGCAAAAGUCUAUGGCAUUGAAA